UACGUAGGGUGCGAGCGUUGUCCGGAAUCAUUGGGCGUAAAGCGCGUGUAGGCGGUCCGGUAAGUCCACUGUGAAAGUCGGGGGCUCAACCCUCGGAUGCCGGUGGAUACUGUCGGGCUUGAGUACGGAAGAGGCGAGUGGAAUUCCUGGUGUAGCGGUGAAAUGCGCAGAUAUCAGGAGGAACACCAAUUGCGAAGGCAGCUCGCUGGGACGUUACUGACGCUGAGACGCGAAAGCGUGGGGAGUAAACAGG
rnacentral:rRNA from 1 species